AGCAGCCGCGGUAAUUCUAGCUCCAAUAGCGUAUAUUAAAGUUGUUGCAGUUAAAAAGCUCGUAGUUGAAUUUCGGGGUUAGUAGGUUGGUCAUGCCUCUGGUAUGUACUGGUCUCACUGAUUCCUCCUUCCUGAUGAGCCGUAAUGCCAUUAAUUUGGUGUUGCGGGGAAUUUGGACUGUUACUUUGAAAAAAUUAGAGUGUUUAAAGCAAGCUAACGCUUGAAUACAUUAGCAUGGAAUAAUGAGAUAGGACGUUCGAUCCUAUUUUGUUGGUUUCUAGGAUUGACGUAAUGAUUAGUGGGGAUAGUUGGGGGCAUUAGUAUUCAAUUGUCAGAGGUGAAAUUCUUGGAUUUAUUGAAGACUAACUACUGCGAAAGCAUUUGCCAAGGAUGUUUUCAUUAAUCAAGAACGAAAGUUAGGGGAUCGAAGACGAUCAGAUACCGUCGUAGUCUUAACCAUAAACUAUGCCGACUAGGGAUCGGAUGAUGUUAAUUUUUAAUGA
rnacentral:rRNA from 1 species